rnacentral:rRNA from 1 species
AUUUCUUCGGAUUGAAGCCUUGGUGACUGAGCGGCGGACGGGUGAGUAACGCGUGGGUAACCUGCCUCAUACAGGGGGAUAACAGUUGGAAACGGCUGCUAAUACCGCAUAAGCGCACAGCUUCGCAUGAAGCAGUGUGAAAAACUCCGGUGGUAUGGGAUGGACCCGCGUCUGAUUAGCUUGUUGGCGGGGUAACGGCCCACCAAAGCGACGAUCGGUAGCCGGACUGAGAGGUUGAACGGCCACAUUGGGACUGAGACACGGCCCAGACUCC